rnacentral:rRNA from 1 species
UACGUAGGGGGCAAGCGUUGUCCGGAAUCAUUGGGCGUAAAGAGCGUGUAGGCGGCCCGAUAAGUCCGCUGUGAAAGUCCAGGGCUCAACCCUGGAAGGCCGGUGGAUACUGUCGGGCUCGAAUCCGGAAGAGGUGAGUGGAAUUCCUGGUGUAGCGGUGAAAUGCGCAGAUAUCAGGAGGAACACCAAUGGCGAAGGCAGCUCACUGGGACGGUAUUGACGCUGAGACGCGAAAGCGUGGGGAGCAAACAGG